UACAGAGGUCUCAAGCGUUGUUCGGAUUCAUUGGGCGUAAAGGGUGUGUAGGCGGCGCGGUAAGUCGGGUGUGAAAUCUCGGAGCUUAACUCCGAAACUGCAUUCGAUACUGCCGUGCUUGAGGACUGGAGAGGAGACUGGAAUUCAUGGUGUAGCAGUGAAAUGCGUAGAGAUCAUGAGGAAGACCAGUGGCGAAGGCGGGUCUCUGGACAGUUCCUGACACUGAGACACGAAGGCCAGGGGAGCAAACGGG
rnacentral:rRNA from 1 species